rnacentral:rRNA from 1 species
AAUGAACGCUGGCGGCGCGCCUAAUACAUGCAAGUCGAGCGAGAAGACGUAGCAAUACGUUUGUAAAGCGGCGAACGGGUGAGGAAUACAUGGGUAACCUACCCUCGAGUGGGGAAUAACUAGCCGAAAGGUUAGCUAAUACCGCGUACGCUCCUUGGACUUCGGUUCAGGGAGGAAAGCGAUACCGUGGGUAUCGCGCUCUUGGUUGGGCUCAUGUCCUAUCAGCUUGUUGGGAGGUAACGGCUCACCAAGGCUUCGACGGGUAGCUGGUCUGAGAGGACGAUCAGCCACACUGGCACUGCGACACGGGCCAGACUCCUACGGGAGGCAGCAGUAA